UACGUAGGGUGCAAACGUUGCUCGGAAUCACUGGGCGUAAAGCGCACGUAGGCGGCUUUAUAAGUCGGGGGUGAAAGCCUGUGGCUCAACCACAGAAUUGCCUUCGAUACUGUAGAGCUUGAGACCGGAAGAGGUAAGUGGAACUGCGAGUGUAGAGGUGAAAUUCGUAGAUAUUCGCAAGAACACCAGUGGCGAAGGCGGCUUACUGGUCCGGUUCUGACGCUGAGGCGCGAAAGCGUGGGGAGCAAACAGG
rnacentral:rRNA from 1 species